GCGUCGGUGGUAUAACGGUUAGCAUAGCUGCCUUCCCAGCAGUUGACCCGGGUUCGACUCCCGGCCGACGCA
rnacentral:tRNA from 1 species